rnacentral:rRNA from 1 species
UACGUAGGGUGCAAGCGUUGUCCGGAAUUAUUGGGCGUAAAGAGCUUGUAGGCGGUUUGUCGCGUCUGCCGUGAAAUUUCGAGGCUCAACCUCGAACUUGCGGUGGGUACGGGCAGACUAGAGUGUGGUAGGGGAGACUGGAAUUCCUGGUGUAGCGGUGAAAUGCGCAGAUAUCAGGAGGAACACCGAUGCGAAGGCAGGUCUCUGGGCCACUACUGACGCUGAGAAGCGAAAAGCAUGGGGGAGCGAACAGGAUUAGAAACCCCCU